UCUUCUCACUCCCUCUAAUUAUACGCUUCCUCUCUCUUCAACCUUCAAACGGUUUCUGCUUCAUUGAACAACCAUCACCGUUUCUGCUAUUUUUUUUUUUUUUUCCUUCUUGUUUUACAAAAUAAUUUUUUAAUUAUAAAGUUGAAAAGCCAUUUUAAUUUGUAAUCGAUGAAAAAACCCAUGGAUGUAUACUGGAGAUAACAAAUAUCAAAACUCAAAUUCAAAAUCAAUGGCACAACAUGAAAUAACUUUUUCAAUUGAUACUGUAAAAUCUUUGUUAUGCGGAUGUGGGGGUUUGACAAAUUGCCUUGGAUCCAUGGGAAUGAAUUCAGGGAAUGGGUUUUGUUUCAAAAUGGUUAUUUUCUUGCACAAUCUGUAGUUUCAAAUUUCAAUUUCUUAAGAUUCCACGUGUUUUAAGGGUAAAUCUCAGUUUUUUUUUAUUACUUUGUUUGGUGUAUGAUUUGUUGACGACAAUGGAUGAGGAUGGAAUCGUAGUAGUUAUGUUCAUCAUGUACAAGAGAGAAGAUAGGAGGGAACAAACAUAAUCUCCCAACGUAAGGCGAGUGGUUGAAGGUGCAGCUUAAAACACAAAAUAUCUCAACCGUUUAUUUCAAUCAAGUGGCUAUUAUUUAAUGCUCUCACCCUCUCACUUGAUACAUCCCCUAUGUAUAUGUUAUUGGGUUGGAUUUGGUGGAUGAUGAAAGCAAGUUUGAAAGCCAGCAAAAACCAAACACAUGCCUACACCUGCUCAAUGGACUGACAAAAAUAAUCCAACAUAUUCAUACUAUAUCUAUUACUGUUAUGCCAAUCUUUACACCUUAAACAAGGUGUGUAACUUUUUUUCAAGACAACUAUAUACUCCUAUGGAAAUUGAGCUCAUGCGAUUUAUGUGAGAUUGCCCGAAAUUCAGUUUAUCAGUCCGGUUUCUCACAUGCCUUAAAGUCACACUAGAUUGGCAAGGAGUCUUACAAGAGAGCGCCAAAUGGAAAUGACAUUCGCAAAACAAAUGUACUUCACAUCCGAUUAAAAUUCUGAAACACGAUUUGGAAAGUUGAGAUGCGACGGGUUUAUUUGGGCAGAGUCAACAAAGUAGUAGACAAAAAAGCGGCAUGUUCUUCAUCAACACUUGAAAAACCAAGCUGUUAACAGGUUGAAAAUGAGUUCCACACACCCACUGAGCAUUGACGGGCGUCUGAGGCUGAAAAUACAUGUCAUAAUACUAAGGCUGAAGCCGGUAAAAAUUUCGUUUGAGGAUAUUCCACGUGAUCGCUUAGCUUCAGAUUUGGCCGAGUGUUAAAAUGGUUUCUCAUAUAUAUUGGAAAGUGUUUUCUCGUAUUGACUUGGCCGAGUGUUAAAAUGAUUCGGAUAGCAAUGAUUGGGUGGGCGCAUAAAACAAUUGAUACUUGUUGCACUUGAAAUUAUAAAUAACAACAGUACUGCUAGUUUAUAUACCAUUCCAUGAGAGAAAUUAGCGUUCUCAGAUUUUGGUCCUCAUUCCUUGUCGUUACUGAGCUUUUUCAUUGGAAGAUGAAGAGUCUCCUCAGUUUUGCCAUGCAAUGUAACGGUAGUGAGUCAGAGUUAUGAUGAAAUUGUGCGAUGAUGUAACGACAUAGCAUUGCUUUUGCAGGUGUUUCGCAGGUUUGUGCCGGUCUCCUUUCGGCGGUCACUUCUUGCUGUUGGUUUUUAGUUUCUUUUUCCGGUGGUGUCUUCCCGUGUGUUUUUUGAUCUCGGGUUGGCUGUUUGGGUUUUUUGGGAGGCUUUUUGUGUUUUAGGCAUCUUCGGAUGGCCUUGAGGUGUAUAUUAUACUUUCUUCUUUUAUUAUUCUCUAUAUAUAAUUUUGCCAUUCAAAAAAAAAAAAAUUUGAGCAUUGUAACACACAUCCAUGGGAAGAAACUCAACAAUUCAGUGGCAGCGGGCUUUUUUUCAACUUAACAGAUUCCUUCAAUGAUUUUGCACUUUCCACUUUCAAUCUUCUCUUUCUCUUCAUACUCGUCAGUCCUACACUCCCCCUUUCACCCCUCACAUUCAUGG